UUCAGUCCUUCGGGUACCCAUCUGACGUCAUUACGUCGGCAGACGUCUCUCCCUGGAAGUCCGAAGUUGCCCGAGAACAAUGGCUGCCUGACGACGGCUGUUUGACUGUUUGAAAGCCAAGGUUAUCAAGGAAACAAGUGGUGUACUGGAUGAAGUUUGAUGGACUCUUCUGAUCAGGUGCUGCAGGUCUUCCAGCUACUGUUUGGAGAAGAUAUUUCCUCUCAAUUUAUGGAAGUAGGGAAUUUUUCUGAAGGCAGAAAUCAAGGAUUCAAGAACCCAAGUUGGACUCUUG